rnacentral:lncRNA from 1 species
GUGAUACUGAAGCAUUGGGAACUUAACACUGAUGAACUUGACGAUAUCUUUAAAAAAACGGAAUCUUAACCAUAACAGAGUCACAGUAGUUUUGAUAGGAUGUUUUCAUACCCCAUGGAAGGAUGUGUUUACACUAAUAUAUUCUACAGCCCUGAAGAUAUAAAAAAGCUUUCUCUUCAAGGUAUGAGAUAUGGUACAAAAAUACAUUUUUCCAUGUACAAAAGAGAGAAAAAAGGAAGAGAUGAGGGGCAGUGGGGGAGGCAAAAUACUCUACAAGCCUCCAUGGGAUAGAGAAAGAAAAAUAAAUCCCAGACUAUGUGGGGUUAAGAGCCCACCCAAGCAAAGGUCAAAUUUACAUUAAAAAGCAAGUUAUUCAGGAGUUCCCAUCAUGGUGCAGUGGAACCAAAUCUGACUAGGAACCAUGAGGUGGCGGGUUCCAUCUCUGGCCUUGCUUAGUGGGUUAAGGAUCCAGCAUUGCCAUGAGCUGUGAUGUGGAGGUCGCAGAUGCAGCUCAGAUCUGGUGUGGCUGUGGCUGUGGCAUAGGCCCUUAGCCUGAGAACCUCCAUAUGCUGCGGGUGCAUCCCUAAAAAGAAAAAAAAGAUCUGGUGUUGUCACUGCAGCGGCUGGGGUCACUGCUGCAGUGCAGGUUCCAUCCCUGGCCUGGGAACUUCCAUUCGCCAUGGGCAUGGCCAAAAAAAUAAAAAACAAAAUGAUAAAGACAUCUUUCAUUUGAGUGCACCAAACUGUAAAUCUGGUUUCAUAGCCUACACUUAGCCAACUUGGAAAAAAAAAAAGGUACACAUUCUUUUUUUCCUUUGGCUGCACCUGUGGCCUGCAGAUGCAGAAACUCCUGGACCAAGCAUCAAACCCGCACCACAGCAGAGUUUCCAUUGUGGCUCAGCGGGUCAAGAACCCGAGUAGUAUACAUGCUGAUGCAGGUUCGAUCCCUGGCCGUGCUCAGUGGGUUAAGGAUCCAGCGUUGUCACUGCAGCAUAGGUCGCAGGUUUGGCUUGGAUCCUGCAUUGCUGUGUCUAUGGUGUAGGCUGGCAGCUGCAGCUCUGAUUCAGUCCCUAGCCUGGGAACUUCCAUACGCUGUAGGUGCGGCUGUAAAAAGAAAAAAAGCAAAAAACAAAAAACCCUGCACAAUGCCGAAUCCUUAACCUGCUGUGCCACAAGGGAAUUCCAAGGCGCAUAUUUGUCACAGCAAUUUCCAGUUGAAACUUAUGACCUCAGUCUACCAGUGCCCAGAAGCAGUGCCUCCCUCAGUUUAUUAGAGGUUAAAAUGGUUUUCCUGCCUAGAUCUCAAUACUGCACACCGCCCAUCAGGCUUCUGUGGGUGAGGGUUGGCAAGGAAGAGGCCAGGAACUUAAGACUUAAAAUAAGCUCUGUGUUGAGAAUGUCAAUUUCCCUGGGCCAACAUGAGCAAAGCAAACUUUUUAGUACCUCAAUAUACACAGGAGCCAAAUGAACACAAGGAAGGCGGGCAGGCAGGCAAAGACGACCUCCCGGGAGUUAUUUAUACCCUGUGCUCAAAUGGGUUUGUCGCUAAGUAUCUAAAUGACAAAACUAGAACGAUGUCAAUGCAGAAACCACGGGGUUCAAAUGCCCAUGGAUGAAGACUUGCCCUAACAAAUCCCAGAGAACAUGCUUGUGUUUUAGGAAGUGAACCGAAUGCAGGAGAGCUUGGGGUCCAGUUUUGUGCACCUGAAAAACAGAAGUUUCAAUAGCAUCCUCAAAAAACGUUUACUUCCGUUUUCCAGAUACUUACAAAUAAAACCACAGAGACUCGGUACAAGAAGGGUUGGCAGGCAGUGGAGUUUUUUCCAAAAUGAUGCCUGGAUCAAAAGGACUUGUUUCUACCCGAUCUGACAGGGUUCUCGACGCUGUGCAUGGGGGGCCUUUGAGUGGGCUGCCAGAGCACAGAGGUGGGCAUUAAAGACCACUGAGACAGACCCCAGGGCAGCAAAAUCUGGGGCUUCUUUCCUUGUUUACCUGUGCUUCUCGGUGUCUAGAAAAGCAUGUUUCCACCAGCCCCUGAUCCAAGCCUUGUAAAACCCCCUUUGUCCAAGACCCCCACAACUGUCAGCCCUGCAGACCUCUAACCCCCAGAGACUGCCUAAAAUGAGGUCACCAGACUCCAGAAAAAAAAAAGCACCUGACACACGUGUCAUAAAAACUAUAGGAAAAAUAACUCAAAUUUUUUCCAAGUCUUCCUAUUACUGCUUACUGUUCCUGAGGAUGCGUUAUCAGCAGUAACAGACUUGAAAAUGUUAUUAGCUGCUAUGGCUGGUUUUCCCUCUAAGGUUCCGAGUCAACCCAAACCCUAAACCAAAGAAAUAAAUAUAAAACCCUGGAGAGUGUGUCUUUCCUGUAUUGACCUAGCUGGCAAAUGGCAAAAUUAGGACAUCCAACAGAUGCCUGAAUGAGCUU